CGUGGCUCGGUGGUUGCACGUCGACCCAUGAACCAGGAGGUCCCGGUUCGACUCCCGGUCAGAGAACAUUCUUGGGUUGUGGGUUCAAUUGUCAGGGCAUGUGAGGAAGGCAACCGAUGAUAUUUAUCUCUCACAUCUCU